rnacentral:rRNA from 1 species
AUGAACGCUAGCUACAGGCUUAACACAUGCAAGUCGAGGGGCAGCAUGAUUGAAGCUUGCUUCAAUCGAUGGCGACCGGCGCACGGGUGAGUAACACGUAUCCAACCUGCCGAUAACUCGGGGAUAGCCUUUCGAAAGAAAGAUUAAUACCCGAUAGUAUAGUAUUUCCGCAUGGUUUCACUAUUAAAGAACUUCGGUUAUCGAUGGGGAUGCGUUCCAUUAGUUAGUUGGCGGGGUAACGGCCCACCAAGUCAACGAUGGAUAGGGGUUCUGAGAGGAAGGUCCCCCACAUUGGAACUGAGACACGGUCCAAACUCCUACGGGAGGCAGCAGUGAGGAAUAUUGGUCAAUGGACGAGAGUCUGAACCAGCCAAGUAGCGUGAAGGAUGACUGCCCUAUGGGUUGUAAACUUCUUUUAUACGGGAAUAAAGUGGAGUAUGCAUACUCCUUUGUAUGUACCGUAUGAAUAAGGAUCGGCUAACUCCGUG